CUGGAAGGCCCCCGGUCUCUGGAGGGGAGCAGGCGGUAGCGAGUUUAGUGACGUGGAGCAGGCGCAGAACAGUCGGAGGUGCCUGAGUGGUUAUUAAAAACGGUAACGAUUUGAAGAGAUUUCCUGGGUGUGGAGUGUGACUUUCCAAAACCAGCUUUUCCUUGAGCUGUAUUUGUUGCAGCAAUGUUUAGGAGAUUGACUUUUGCACAACUGCUUUUUGCCACUGUCCUUGGAAUUGCUGGAGGAGUAUAUAUUUUUCAACCAGUAUUUGAACAGUAUGCCAAAGAUCAGAAGGAAUUAAAAGAAAAGGUGCAGUUGGUACAAGAAUCAGAAGAGAAGAAAAGUUAAUACUACAUGGAGUUAGGCCGGGCGCAGUGGCUCACGCCUGUAAUCCCAGCACUUUGGGAGGCCGAGGCGGGUGGAUCAGGUGGUCAGGAGUUCAAGACCAGCCUGACCAACAUGGUGAAACCCUGUCUCUACUAAAAAUACAAAAAUCAGCCAGGCUUGGUGGCAUGCGCCUGUAAUCCCAGCUACUUGGGAGGCUGAGGCAGGAGCAUCACUUGAACCUGGGAGGCAGAGGUGGCAGUGAGUCAAGAUCACGCUGCUGCACUCCAGCCUGGGUGACAGAGCGAGACUCCAUCUAAAAAAACAAAAAGCAAAAAAAACCACAAAUACCUCAUGGAGAUGAACCGUAAUAAUUGCUUAAAGUUCCAUUUAAUUAUGUUAACUCGAAUCUAG
rnacentral:lncRNA from 1 species